rnacentral:rRNA from 1 species
AUGAACGCUGGCGGCGUGCCUAAUACAUGCCCGUCGAGCGAACGGAUGAGAAGCUUGCUUCUCUGAUGUUAGCGGCGGACGGGUGAGUAACACGUGGAUAACCUACCUAUAAGACUGGGAUAACUUCGGGAAACCGUAGCUAAUACCGGAUAAUAUUUUGAACCGCAUGGUUCAAAAGUGAAAGACGGUCUUGCUGUCACUUAUAGAUGGAUCCGCGCUGCAUUAGCUAGUUGGUAAGGUAACGGCUUACCAAGGCAACGAUGCAUAGCCGACCUGAGAGGGUGAUCGGCCACACUGGAACUGAGACACGGUCCAGACUCCUACGGGAGGCAGCAGUAGGGAAUCUUCCGCAAUGGGCGAAAGCCUGACGGAGCAACGCCGCGUGAGUGAUGAAGGUCUUCGGAUCGUAAAACUCUGUUAUUAGGGAAGAACAUAUGUGUAAGUAACUGUGCACAUCUUGACGGUACCUAAUCAGAAAGCCACGGCUAACUACGUG